rnacentral:rRNA from 1 species
AUAUCGCAUUUUUGGUGGGGUGAUGGUGAGGACCAACGGAAACUGCAUUGGUUCGCUUGGCGGAAGAUGUGCAUUCCAAAAUCUAGGGGAGGCAUGGGCUUCCGUGAUAUUCAUAGUUUUAAUCUAGCAAUGCUCGCUAAACAAUGCUGGAGACUCAUAGAUAACUAUGACUCACUUUGUGCCAAGGUUCUGCGAGCUAAGUAUUACCCAUCGGGAGACCUGCUAAACUAUGAUUUGAAGAAGGGUUCAUCUUAUGUAUGGCAAAGCAUAUGGUCAGGAAUUCAGACCUUCAAGGAAGGGUGCAUCUGGAGGGUUGGAAAUGGAAUGAAAAUUGAUAGCUGGGAUGAUUGUUGGAUCCCUAGUAGCAGCUCAAGGAUGAUACUGACAGUACGGGGAAACUGCAUCCUCUCCAAGGUAAAUGAGCUUAUUAAUCCAACCACAGGUGAGUGGGAUGAGCCACUUAUUCGUGAUAAUGUUUGGCAUGUAGACGCUGAACGGAUUCUUCAGAUUCCUAUAUACCAACAUGAGACUGAGGACUUUAUAGCAUGUCAUCUCACCAAGUCGAGGAUCUUUACUGUAGGGUCUACUUACUACUGGCAAUGGGAAGUAGCAUUUGCAUCCAGCAAUGACAGUAGUUUGGUUGUACAUGGUCCAUCUCCACACCCCAUCUGGGAGAACCUAUGGUCUCUGAAAGUCCCGAGCAAGGUUAAAAUCUUUAUAUGGAGAUGUUUGCACAAUGCUAUCCCAUCAGAUGUAUUCUCGCCAAUAUACAUAUUGCACGUUCCUCACAGUGUCCCAUCUGCUCGUUGCAUGCUGAAGAUACGGCGCACUUGA